GGGGCAGGGAGCAGCCAGGGCCCUGGCCCCAGGGUGAGAGCUGACGUCUGUCCGGGAGCAUCUCUCUCCCUGCCAAGGGCUGAGAUUCUGGGCUGCAUGCCUUCCUUCUGACACAGGAGCUGACAUUCGUCCCUCACGGAACCUGGACCUCAGCCUCACCCCAGAGUGGCCGGGUGACAGCUAUGGCGGUGUGGUGACCGCAAGGCCCACUCUUGCUUCCCUCCAGAUGCACCUGACACCUCCCAGGCCACUACAGGCAGCUACAGAGACCCACACAAGGGGCCCCACACCCAGAAUCCAAGUUUUGGCUUCAAGAACAGUGAGGAGCUCCUGUACUGGCCCUUUCCAAGCGGUAGUGACCUGGAGCGUGUCAGAGGGGAGGCGUGGCCCUUUACUGUUUAUGGUAAAAUCCCAACCCCUGCAAAACCGCUUUGCUGAGUGUGCUGUCGUCCAGAGGCGGGGUGACUAAGCAAGGAGGCUGGAGGUGGGAGGCCCACCAGAACACGUGGAGACCAGGAAAUCAAAUGAUCAGUGCAUGAAGAAGACUGACUAGAGGCCCAAGGACACAGCAAAUAUCAAGGUCAUCACACAAACAUCAGCCCCACAGCACCCCUAAAGCCCAGAACCUAAAGAAGCAAAAGAGGGGACAAACUACCUUAAAAAGGACAUUAAGUCAUGUAUACUCCCUGCAAGAGUGUAUCAGAGGGCUUGUUUCCACUGAUAUUGACAAGAGAAGAGACGCUACAAAGGCAGUUUAAGUUUCCAAUAUAAUGGGGAAAAAACCGUACACUGGCAUUGUAAUGUAUUUUCCCCGACCAUCUUUGAGGUUGGGUGCCUCUUCAUAUGUAAAA
rnacentral:lncRNA from 1 species